GAUGAACGCUAGCUACAGGCUUAACACAUGCAAGUCGAGGGACCGGCGCACGGGUGAGUAACGCGUAUCCAACCUGCCCAUAAGUAGGGUAUCACCCGCAGAAAUGCGGACUCAUCCCCUAUGCUUAUGGCUGGUGAUGCGUCCGAUUAGCUUGUUGGUGAGGGAACGGCCCACCAAGGCUUCGCUCGGUAGGGGUUCUGAGAGGAAGGCCCCCGAGAGAGGAACUGAGGCACGGUCCUAACCCGUACGGGAGGCAGGAGAGAGGAAUAUUGUGCAAUGGGCGAGAGCCUGACCCAGCCAAGUAGCGUGCAGGAAGACGGCGUAUGGGUUGUAAACUGCUUUGAUGCGGGGAUAGGUACCGCAUGAAUAAGGACCGGCUAAUUCCGUGCCAGCAGCCGCGGUAAUAC
rnacentral:rRNA from 1 species